UAACACGGGGGGAGCAAGCGUUGUUCGGAAUCACUGGGCGUAAAGGGCGUGUAGGCGGUUAGGUAAGUGGGAUGUGAAAGCCCCCGGCUCACCCGGGGACCUGCAUUCCAAACUGCCUGACUUGAGUAUGGGAGAGGAUAGGGGAAUUCCUGGUGUAGCGGUGAAAUGCGUAGAUAUCAGGAGGAACACCGGUGGCGAAGGCGCCUAUCUGGCCCAAUACUGACGCUGAGGCGCGAAAGCUAGGGGAGCAAACGGGAUUAGAUACCCCGGUAGUCCUAGCCGUAAACGGUGAGCACUAGGUGUUGGAGGCAUCGACCCCUCCAGUGCCGCAGCUAACGCACUAAGUGCUCCGCCUGGGGAGUACGGCCGCAAGGUUG
rnacentral:rRNA from 1 species